rnacentral:rRNA from 1 species
UACGUAGGGUGCAAGCGUUAAUCGGAAUUACUGGGCGUAAAGCGUGCGCAGGCGGUGAUGUAAGACAGGUGUGAAAUCCCCGGGCUCAACCUGGGAAUUGCAUUUGUGACUGCACGGCUAGAGUGCGGAAGAGGGAAGCGGAAUUUCCGGUGUAGCGGUGAAAUGCGUAGAUAUCGGAAGGAACACCAGUGGCGAAAGCGGCUUCCUGGUCCAGCACCGACGUUCAGGCACGAAAGCGUGGGGAGCAAACAGG